AGGACGAACGCUGGCGGCGCGCUUAACACAUGCAAGUCGUACGGGGUCACCCUUUCGGGGGUGGUUCAGUGGCGAACGGGUGCGUAACACGUGAGCAACCUGCCUGCCGGUGGGGGAUAACCCGGGGAAACCCGGGCUAAUACCGCAUUCGCUCAUCUCUUCGAUUGAGGGGAUGAGGAAAGGUGCUGCAAGGCACUGCCGGCAGAGGGGCUCGCGGCGUAUCAGCUAGCUGGUGAGGUAACGGCUCACCAGGGCAACGACGCGUAGCCGAUCUGAGAGGAUGAUCGGCCACAUUGGGACUGAGAUACGGCCCAGACUCCGUACGGGAGCAGCGAGUGGGGAAUC
rnacentral:rRNA from 1 species